GUGAAAGCUCUAUUUAACUGCUCCCAUUGCUUGAUCCAGACACUUCUGACAGUCUGUUUUUACAGACAUGGCAAAACAACACUUGGAAGUCAUUUGAGAAAAUAUUCCUGGUAUCACAGAGGGAGUGUCCUCUAGCUGAGUGAAGUCAUUUUUCCUUGAAUGACUGACAGAAUGGCUUUGGUUCACCUGUAAUUCACAGUUUAGCUGAUCCAGUGUACUGUAAAGUCUGUUUCACUCCACCAGCCAACAAGGAGCAGGCGGCCGUGGUUUUCUCAUGUUCUGGGGGAAGCUGUUUGUCAGUGUUAACCUGGCUAACUUUGGACAGCUGCAACAACAACAUCUAUCCCUUGGCAUAUGGUGUGUUUAGAUGCUAAACACUGCCUCAUCUCUUACCUAAAGUUAACAUCUGAUGACAUGAUCGCAACUCCAUAUCCUGAGUUGAUUUCAACCUAUGAUGUUGGAAUUUUCCACAUGGAGAUAAACACUGGGAAGCAGCUAAUCAUUCUCUCUGGAUUUAUAAGGAACAAAUGGAUAAGUGAAACUUGAAAACAAUGGCCAAAGUACUAAGAACUAAUGUUUCUUCAACAAAACAAAUACUUUUACUUUAAGAACAGAAGAUAAAAGGCCAAAGUUGUAAUAUAAGACAAAUUACGGAAAUAUACACUUAUACAUAUAAAACCACUCCUCUUUUUAAAAAAUCAUGCUUUUUAAGAAGAAUCUUCUCAUAUCAGUGAGAAAGAAAGUUAUCUUAACAAACAAAAAGUAUUUUGAAAAAAAGCGUUCACAUGUAUAAGAAAGAAAAUGAACAAAUAAAUAGGAAAAAAGAUCUCUGGUUCAACCAUAUCAAAGCUUCUUCAUGUUUGUUAUUUUACUCUAAAGGACACCUCCCUGAUCUUGAACUGAUAAUACAGUUAAAAGAAUUAACAGAAAGAGAGAGGGAUAGAAAUGGUCACGUACAGAAUGAAAAAUAAAGGAAAUUUUUUUCUUAUUAUUUUCCUAAUUUGUCUUAAUUCAAAUGAGCAGAAUAGAGUGCUCCAAAUCAGAACUGUGACUCACUAGAACUAAUAUAUUUUGUCAACAUAUUUAUAAUUGAACAUAUCAGUAAUCUUUCAUUUGAACAAUUAAUUGUGUCAGUAAUCAUUUAUCUGCAUAAUAGUUAUAAUUAAUUUGUUACAUUUAUUUAAUUAUUCAUAAUUUAUUACAAAAUGCAACAUCAAGAAUCAUCUAAUAACAAAACUUAUUUGACAGUGUUUGAUAAAUAUGUUUAUGAAUGUCCCACUGAGAUAUGUUAAAAACCACAUUGAUAGCAAAAUUACUUUAAAAUACAUGCUUUAUCAUUAUGGCAAUAGAUGCUGUUUAUGACUCAUCUUGUUUCUAUUCUGUACGACAAACUCUCAGAUCUUCUUUUUUCAAACUUCGAUUUGAUCUCUGAGUUUCUGACUUUCCCCUCUCUCUUUCUUACUUAUUUUUGAAAAAGGACAUUUUGACACUACCAAUAAUGAUAAAAAAAAGAGAGACGAAAAAGUGAGAUUAGCAGGUAAUUUUUAAAGUUAAAGAAUAGUUAUAUUUAGGCAGGGCACAGUGCCUCACGCCUGUAAUCCCAGCACUUUGGGAGGCCAAGGUGGGCAGAUCACAUGAGGUCAGGAGUUUGAGACCAGCAUGGCCAACAUGGUGAACCAUGUUUCUACUAAAAAUACAAAAAUUAGCCUGCUGUGGUGGCACAUGUCUGUAGUCCCAGCUACUGAUGAGGCUAAGGAGGGAGAAUCACUUCAACCCAGGGAGCAGAGCUUGCAGUGAGCUGAGAUCGUGCCACUGCACUCCAGCCUUGGCGACUGAAUGAGUCUCUGCCUCAAAAGAAAAAAAAACAGUGAUAUUUAUUCAUUAUUGCCACAAUAGGAUAAAAUGAUUUAAGUCCAUAUAAAUCUAAGUAAACCUGCAAUUGUUUAUAUCCUAAAAGGACACACAAGGAAGUACGUUUGAAAUUAAUCAUGUGGCUUUCUUCCCACCCCAAAUACUCCCCCACUCUCCAGAUUCUUUAGAGUUCACUUUUCAAAAGGAUUGAAAAAACAUAUAUUUCAAAGUUUUUUUUUUUAAUUUAAGGAAUUGAAAGAGCAGAAAAUAUAUACUAAUCAUUCUUCUUAAGCCCUGUGCUCUGUUUCAUUUUCCAAAGGCGUCUACUCUCAGUGGUUUGUUUUUGCUCUUUUUGUGGUUAUGGUUAUAACUAAAUAUGGUAAUCAUUUACCUCGCUUUGUUGCUGCAUUUACCUGCUAUGAAGUAUGAGGAAUUUAGUUUACUUGCACUUCUACUUUCAAAAUUAUUGUUUAUAGCCUCAAUAUUAGUUCUCCUUGAAUGAUGCAUUUGAACUCCCUAUUUGUAUUGAAAUAGCUACUAUCUUCUACUCUGAAAGAUGAAUAAAUUAAUGCACUUACUUUGGACUUCUUUCCAUCUCUGUUCUUGAUUGUCUUUUAGUUAUAUAAUUGUUUUACACUGUCAAGAAUUAUAAUUCUUAUAUUUUUGCUGAAACUAUUUUUCAUAUCUCAAAUUAUAAGUAUUGAGUAUUUGACUUCAAUUUGUAUAAUCAACUUAUGUACAAAGCAUGGAAGGAUUAAUCCACUGUAGAAUUCAUGGUGUCAUGUGAUUGAUGUCAAAGAAAAGAGAAAAUAUGAUACCAUGUCAUUUAAACUUUACCACUUGAAGAAAAAUUUCACAAGUGCCUGAAUAUAAUAAAUUUUAUUUUAAUAUUUUUCUAGCUUUCUUUACUUCUUUUGAGUCAUACUCAGGUGCUGGCAUUUUGGGGACAACACUUUGGUUUGUUUGGGGUUAUAUAUUUUAUUUUUCUGUAGUCUAGCCUAGUCUACUUUUAUUUAUGGUAUAUGGGUAGUUUGCUCUCUAAGUUCUUGCAUGCUAACAGAUCUUUGAUUUUUGCUCAUAUCUGAUUAAUUAUUUGGAUGAAUAGAGAAUUCUAGGUAUAAAUGGUUUUCUGGAGUCUGUCUUACAGUAUACUUAUGAGAAAUCUGGCCUCUCAGUUAUUUUAUUUCUCCUUCAAUGAUCUUGUCCUCCACCUCAUGCCAACUUCCCACUUCUAUGGUCUUAGACAUUGCCAUGACCAACCGUCCCAUAAUCAUAUUCUCAGAUAUUCCAUUCUCUCCAUUUAGCUAUCUAUAAUUAUCAUAUAUAGAUAUAAAUUAUCAUAUAUCUCCACAACUUUCUAGGGCACACAUUAUAAUAUUUUCAUAAAAUGCCUUAUUUUCUUUUAUGAAUAUGAUGGGAAAUGCUAGAUCAAGGAAUAAUGAACAAAACAAAGGAAUAUAGAUGUUUCAUGUAUUUAUUCAACAUUUAUUGAGUGCUGACCAAGUAACAGACACAAUGCAGACUCUGAGCCUGUAGAGGUAAAUGAUCAACAACAGCAAUAACAAAUCUCAGGUCUCAAAUCCUAGUAAAGAAUUUCACAAUCUAGUACGUCAAAACAUUAGUAUGCUUAACAACUAUUGUAUUCAUGGUGCAAACAGAAAUAGGCCUCUACGCUGAAAAAUAAUAAAAAUAUGAGAAAGAUUUUUCAGGAUAUAUAGCGUUGUUAAGUUUCUUGAAAAAGUUUGGGGAAAUAUUUUGAGAAUAAGAUAAAUUACCUAUUACUAGAAUUUUAGGUUUAUGUUAAAUUUUCUUUACAAUAAGUAAGGGAUAAAGUAAGUAAUACUUUAGUGGUUUAACAAUAUGUCCACAUAUUUUUGGCAUCCUUCCCUUUAAUAAUUGGAGCCUAAUUUCCCUUCUCUUGAAAAUAAUCUAGAAUUAGUGACUAGCUUCUAACAAGAAUGUGGCAGAAGUGACAGCAUCCGACUUCUGAGACUAGGUCAUAGAUGACAUUGCUGAUGCCACGCUCCUCUCUCUUGUAUUGUUUGCCCUGGGGAGAGUCAGCCAUCUGCUAUGUCAUGAGGACACUCAAGCAGCCCGUGGAGAGGCUCACAUGGGGAUAAAGGGAGGCCUCCUGCCAAAAUCCAGCCACAACGUGGCAAUCAUGCGAGUGAGCCACCUCUGAAGUGGAACCUCCAGCCCAGUCAAGCCUUCAGAUGACUGGCACUCACUUUCCUGACUGCAACCUCAUGACAGACCCAAAGCCAGAAUUGUCCAACUAAUGUGUUCCCAAAUGUUUUGACCCACAGAAACUGUGAGAACAAUCAAUUUCUAUUGUUUUAAAGUCGCCUAAGUUUUGGGGUAAUUUGUUAUACUGUGAUGAACAGCUACAUACAAAUUUAAGUUUAUUAAAUUAGAAGUUGAAGGAGAGAAAUGAAAGUCAAAUUCUAGUACUCAGUAAAUUCUAAAAGCUUAUGAUACCAGUUAGUUUUUACAUCAUAACAUAAUCGCUUCUUUUUUUUUUUUCUGAACAAAAUUGCUAUGGAAAAACCCAACUCAAAGGUUAGUGAAAGAGAAAUAUAGUUUUCAUUUAAAAGGGAAAGUACAACUUUGCUGUAGGUCUUAGAUAAAAAUAGAUUGUAUAAUCUGAAAACCUCCCCACAACUUUUUUGUGAGUUUAUAUUAUUUUCUCCUUUUAAAAGAUGGUUAAACUGCUAACUAAAAGGAAUUUCAGAAGAGAACUGCCAUAAAAAAUUUUAACUUCUUAUACAAUGGAUAGACUUAUUUGCUAUUUGUACAAUAUACAUACUAUGAAAUACAAUGGUUUGCAUGAUUUAGAAUUGUGUAAGUUUUUUUGAAAAUAACUGUGGAGGUAUAAGUGGAAGCUUGACUCCAAAAUCAGACUUUUCCUAACUCAUCCUCUUUCAACUGAGAAAACUGCCUAUCGGAACUGGGUGCAUAGGGAAAUAUCAGACAGAAUAUGGACAACUGCCAGGACUUGUGGUUUUUUUUUAAAGGACUUGGGCAAUGACCAUGGUUGGUGUCAUAAUAAAGCACAUAGAUUUUUCUUUUAAAAAACAUUUGUAAAAGGGAAUGGAUUAAAGAAGUUCUUUGAUCUCAGAAAUGGCAUAUAUCUAUGUAGGUUGUUUUUUGUUAUAUUUUCAAUUGACUACCUUUCAUACUUGGGAUUCCCUCAAAGAAAUAAAGUUCUCUGAAAAAGCUUUUGAUACUUUAUUAAAAAAUCCAUCGUCUGGGCGCGGUAGCUCAU
rnacentral:lncRNA from 10 species